rnacentral:rRNA from 1 species
CGUUACUCGCAGAAGAAGCACCGGCUAACUCCGUGCCAGCAGCCGCGGUAAUACGGAGGGUGCAAGCGUUAAUCGGAAUUACUGGGCGUAAAGCGCACGCACGCGGUUUGUUAAGUCAGAUGUGAAAUCCCCGGGCUCAACCUGGGAACUGCAUUUGAAACUGGCAAGCUAGAGUCUCGUAGAGGGGGGUAGAAUUCCAGGUGUAGCGGUGAAAUGCGUAGAGAUCUGGAGGAAUACCGGUGGCGAAGGCGGCCCCCUGGACGAAGA